GCUAUUCUGGAUGAAAUUUGCUCAAUGCCAUUAAUACAAGAGAGGUGAUAGGAUAACUGUUACUAAUCGAAAUUCUGGUCAAUAGCGGUCUUAACUAUGAGGAUCCUAAGGUAGCAAAAUAAAUUGGCCAUUAAAUGUGGUCCGGUAUCAAUAGUGUAACGAUGGUCUCACUGUCUCUACAACUUGCUCAGUGAAAUUGAAUUACCCGUGCAGAUGCGGGUUGCCUCCAGGUGGACGGGAAGACCCUAUGCAGCUUCUACUGG
rnacentral:rRNA from 1 species